CGAUCUCUGGUUUGCAUGUGCUACACAUAAUUCAAAACAACAUAAACAACAGCACUUUGUCCUUUCCAUAUCAUUUCCCUCAAGUGCAGAGCAAUUAUCUAGUUUUAUUUUAGGAUUCCUGAAAGUCUUCAUUGCCUUUUUGACUGGGUUUUUUUUUUUCAGUAAUCGUGCACUGUUUGGUCAAAAAUUGCUACAGGUACAACAGUAACUUUAAUAAUUAUUAUUAGGUUUUGUGUGAAGAUAGAUUUUUACAUAUAUUUGUAAACAUAUUCUAUAAAACCUGAAAUUUCUCCAUGAAAAAAAGACCUCCAGAAAUUCUGAUGAGUCUUUGGAUAUGGAUUUUUGUUUGUUUGUUUGGAUACUAAUAGACUUGGAUGACUAAUUACCACAAUCUUUUUUUGUUUUCUAUAGACCUUAUAGUUUUUUAAUAUUGAUCUCUACCAAAUGGUUGAGAUAUCACUUAAUGGUUUACUUAUACGUUAUGUAAAUACAAGUACAGUAGAUAAUACAGUUGCAAUAAAUGAAAUAAAAUACCAAAUUAUAUUGAAAUUAAUAACAAAAAAACUAUCCAGAGCAUUUAUUUCUGCCACUGGAGCUCAUUUAUUUCUAGUAGUAUGCCACAGAACAUCAUUCCAGCAAAGGAAAAUAUUGUAUCAAACAACAAAAUAGUGCAUUUCUAAUUUUUUAACAUUAUAUGCAUCUCUGUUAAACUUCAGCAGCAGAAAAGUCUCACAUUCAGGACAAUAGUGAUUGUAUCACGUGCUGCAAAAUCAUUUGUACUUUCAAAAACAAAAACAAACAAACAUCCAAAACAAAAAUUUGAGUAAAGCAUUAAACAUUUCUCGGCACCCUUCUACACACUAAGUAUCAGUCACCGGACACAUGUGGCUGUUAAGCCACUCAGCUGUGGCUCCUGGAAACACUCAAAUAAAAAAAACAAAUUAAAAAAAAAACGUGUGUGUGUUUACAUAUAUAAAUAUGUGUUUGCAUGUGCUCUCUUCUGUCUUACAGCAGCUUGUGUGAAACACUGUGGUUCUUACAGUACAGUUCUUCCCUGGAUUGUUGCUGGUGUAUCUCUCACUUUGAAUGUCUUCUGCAUAACCUACAUAUGGUUCCUUUGGACUUCAAGAAAAAAGGUGAACCUACAUCAGGAGGAGAGAACCGACAUGUCACUGCAAAAAGCAGAUGUAUCAUCAGAUUAUGAUGUUAUUGCAC
ensembl:lncRNA